CGCGUAGGCUGUUUUGUAAGUCGGAUGUGAAAUCCCCGGGCUUAACCUGGGAACUGCAUUCGAUACUGCUUAACUAGAGUAUGGUAGAGGGAAGUGGAAUUUCCGGUGUAGCGGUGAAAUGCGUAGAUAUCGGAAGGAACACCAGUGGCGAAGGCGACUUCCUGGGCCAAUACUGACGCUGAGGUGCGAAAGCGUGGGGAGCAAACA
rnacentral:rRNA from 1 species